UGAAUCUUUUUGUAAUAAAUUUCCCCAAACUGAACUACAAUAGUCUAUAUAUGGUAGAAUAUAUGCAUUAUAAAAUAGUUGCCUUGUGUGUAUUGGCAAAUAUACUUUAAUUUUAUAUAAAAGUGAUAUUUUAGAUGAGAUAAUCUUACAUAUACGACCAACAUGAUCUUCCCAUCUUAAAUUUUCAUCAAUGUCAAUUCCAAGUAAUUUGAAAGAAUGGACAUUCUCAAUACAUGUUUCAUUGACGGCUAUACAGAAUUCUAAUAGUUGUGUAAGUU
rnacentral:lncRNA from 1 species